CGUACAGAACCUUCCUUUAAGCGGGGGAUAGCCCAUAGAAAUGUGGAUUAAUACCCCAUAGCAUUGCAAAGUGGCAUCACUUUUCAAUUAAAGAUUUAUCACUUAAAGAUGGCUGUGCGGCUGAUUAGAUAGUUGGUGAGGUAACGGCUCACCAAGUCUGCGAUCAGUAACUGGUGUGAGAGCACGACCAGUCACACGGGCACUGAGACACGGGCCCG
rnacentral:rRNA from 1 species